GACAUGAAUGGCCGCGGUACCUUGACCGUGCUAAGGUAGCGUAAUUAGUUGGCUUUUAAAUGGAGUCAGGAAUGAAUGGAUUAACCGGGCUUAGCUGUCUCUAAAUUAUUAUUUUGAAUUUACUGUCUAAGUGAAAAAGCUUAGUGUUAGAAAAGGGACGAGAAGACCCUUAGAAUUUUUUCAAAAUUAGGUGUCUCUGCUGUUAAGGGCUACUUUUAAUGAUUUUAUUGGGGCGAUAAAGAAAUAUGUAAAAACUUUCUUUAAUUAACAUGCCGAUUAUACUAAGAAGGAACAAAUUACCUGAGGGAUAACAGCAUAAUUCUAAAAAUGAGUUUGUGACCUCGAUGUUGGACUAGGAAACUAACAAGCUAGGCGUUUGUU
rnacentral:rRNA from 1 species